GCCAGGCGUGGUGGCUCACACCUGUAAUCCCAGCACUUUGGGAGGCUGAGGUGGGUGGAUCACCUGAGGUCAGGAGUUUGAGACCAGCCUGGCCAACAUGGUGAUACCCCAUCUCUA
rnacentral:SRP_RNA from 1 species